CAGCCGUAAACAAUGUGCGUUAGGUGUGUCGGUAACCACGCGUUACUGAUGCGCCGAAGAGAAAUCGUGAAACGCACCACCUGGGAAGUACGGUCGCAAGGCUGAAACUUAAAGGAAUUGGCGGGGGAGCACCACAACAGGUGGAGCCUGCGGUUUAAUUGGAUUCAACGCCGGACAUCUCACCGGAUAAGACAGCUGAAUGAUUGCCGGGCUGAAGACUCUGCAUGACUAGCUGAGAGGUGGUGCAUGGCGUCAGUGACU
rnacentral:rRNA from 1 species